CCCUUAGAUGUUCUGGGCCGCACACGCGCUACACUGAAGGAGGCAGCGUGUACUCCUGGAUCGAAAGAUUUGGGUAACCCGCGAAUCUCCUUCGUGCUAGGGAUUGAGGUUUGCAAUUAUCCUUCAUGAACGAGGAAUUCCCAGUAAGUGCAAGUCAUAAGCUUGCGCUGACUACAUCCCUGCCCUUUGUACACACCGCCCGUCGCUACUACCGAUUGAAUGAUUUAGUGAGGACUUCGGACUGGGACCGAUGCGGCUUUCGGGCUGCGUCGGUAUUCUGGAAAGAUGUCCAAACUGUAUCAUUUAGAGGAAGUAAAANUCGUANCA
rnacentral:rRNA from 1 species